rnacentral:rRNA from 1 species
UACGGAGGGGGCUAGCGUUGUUCGGAAUUACUGGGCGUAAAGCGUACGUAGGCGGCUUUGUAAGUUAGAGGUGAAAUCCCGGGGCUCAACUCCGGAAUUGCCUUUAAGACUGCAUCGCUUGAAUCAUGGAGAGGUGAGUGGAAUUCCGAGUGUAGAGGUGAAAUUCGUAGAUAUUCGGAAGAACACCAGUGGCGAAGGCGACUCACUGGACAGGUAUUGACGCUGAGGUGCGAAAGCGUGGGGAGCAAACAGG